CAGGCAGGCCGGGCGGCCGCUGCCGGUUGCGCGCAAGCGAGGCCGGGAGAGGAAAGUCCGAACUCCGCAGGGCAGUGUGCCGGAUAACGUCCGGGAUCGCGGCGUCAAGGCCGCGAGACGGCCAGUGCCACAGAGAAAACACCGCCCGCGUCUCGCAAGAGGCGAAGGUAAGGGUGAAAAGGUGCGGUAAGAGCGCACCGCUCCGACGGUAACGGCGGAGGCAUGGUAAACCCCACACGGAGCAAGACCAAAUAGGGAGGAAAUUCGCGGCCCGACCCGAUCGGCUGCGGAUGCGUGCCGGCCCGGCGCGCCAACGCGGGUUAUUUCAGUAGGCGUAAGCCCGCUGAAAGCGGAAACCUCCGGGUAGGUUGCUGGAGCCUGUCAGUAAUGGCAGGCCUAGAGGAAUGGCCGUCCUCGACAGAAUUCGGCUUACAGGCUGCUUGCAAU
rnacentral:RNase_P_RNA from 1 species